AGAGGAAUAGUUCAGUGGUAGAGAGCAUGCUUAACAUGCAUGAGGUCCUGGGUUCAAUCCCCAGUACCUCCA
rnacentral:tRNA from 1 species